UACAGAGACUGCAAGCGUUAUUCGGAUUCACUGGGCGUAAAGGGUGCGCAGGCGGUUGGGUGUGUCAGAUGUGAAAUCCCGAGGCUUAACCUCGGAACUGCGUCUGAAACUACUCGACUAGAGUACUGGAGAGGGAAACGGAAUUCACGGUGUAGCAGUGAAAUGCGUAGAUAUCGUGAGGGAACACCAGAGGCGAAGGCGGUUUCCUGGACAGUUACUGACGCUCAGGCACGAAAGCAUGGGGAGCAAAAGGG
rnacentral:rRNA from 1 species